rnacentral:rRNA from 1 species
UACGUAGGUGGCGAGCGUUGUCCGGAUUUACUGGGCGUAAAGAGCGCGCAGGCGGUCGUUCAAGUCGCGUGUGAAAGCCCCCGGCUCAACUGGGGAGGGUCACGCGAUACUGAUCGACUCGAAGGCAGGAGAGGGUAGUGGAAUUCCCGGUGUAGUGGUGAAAUGCGUAGAUAUCGGGAGGAACACCAGUGGCGAAGGCGAUUACCUGGCCUGUUCUUGACGCUGAGGCGCGAAAGCUAGGGGAGCAAACGGG